rnacentral:rRNA from 1 species
GGGAAAGUUGCAAAGAACUUUGAAGAGAGAGUUCAAAAGGACGUGAAACCGCUUGCAGGGAAACAGAUGGACCCACGAAGUCCAGUUGAUUAUGAGAUUCACAUUUUCAACAUUGCUUUGUUAGUUGAUCACUAUUCUUUGAAUAGCUUAAUUCACUUGUGUAGUGUUGUAAAUGCAUUUCUUGUGAUCACGAUGGAGCUCUGUCUGGUUAGUAUAACUUGUUCGCUUAUGACAGCUUACCUUUGUGGUGGAUUCAUAUCGAAUCAUUUCACUUUGUUAAGUGAGUUAUCAAGUUUAACUGACCAGGUGAAUUACUUACAAUUGUAUGUUGUUCAGGUUUUCGAUAUUUAUAAUGGUUAUAGUAUAUGCUUUAAGUGUAUUUCGGCUCUUGUAGUUGAAACCAUUUUUAGUACUUAUACUUGUAAGAUCAUUAUAUUUAUCAAUGAUAAUCCAGAGUAUGUAGGUCGGUCAUCCAUCUCACCCGUCUUGAAACACGGACCAA